UACGUAGGUGGCAAGCGUUGUCCGGAAUUACUGGGCGUAAAGCGUGCGCAGGCGGUUUGCUAAGACAGGUGUGAAAUCCCCGGGCUUAACCUGGGAACUGCGCUUGUUACUGGCAAGCUGGAGUGUGGCAGAGGGGGGUGGAAUUCCACGUGUAGCAGUGAAAUGCGUAGAGAUGUGGAGGAACACCGAUGGCGAAGGCAGCCCCCUGGGCUAACACUGACGCUCAUGCACGAAAGCGUGGGGAGCAAACAGG
rnacentral:rRNA from 1 species